CUUACACAUGCAAGUCAACUUGAAUUUGGGUUUUUAACUUAGAUUUGGGUGGCGGACGGGUGAGUAACGCGUAAAGAACUUGCCUCACAGCUAGGGACAACAUUUAGAAAUGAAUGCUAAUACCUGAUAUUAUGAUUUUAAGGCAUCUUAGAAUUAUGAAAGCUAUAAGCACUGUGAGAGAGCUUUGCGUCCCAUUAGCUAGUUGGAGAGGUAACAGCUCACCAAGGCGAUGAUGGGUAGCCGGCCUGAGAGGGUGAACGGCCACAAGGGGACUGAGACACGGCCCUUACUCCUACGGGAGGCAGCAGUGGGGAAUAUUGGACAAUGGACCGAGAGUCUGAUCCAGCAAUUCUGUGUGCACGAUGAAGUUUUUCGGAAUGUAAAGUGCUUUCAGUUGGAAAGAAAGAAAUGACGGUACCAACAGAAGAAGUGACGGCUAAAUACGUGCCAGCAGCCGCGGUAAUACGUAUGUCACGAGCGUUAUCCGGAUUUAUUGGGCGUAAAGCGCGUCUAGGUGGUUAUGUAAGUCUGAUGUGAAAAUGCAGAGCUCAACUCUGUAUUGCGUUGGAAACUGUAUAACUAGAGUACUGGAGAGGUAAGCGGAACUACAAGUGUAGAGGUGAAAUUCGUAGAUAUUUGUAGGAAUGCCGAUGGGGAAGCCAGCUUACUGGACAGAUACUGACGCUAAAGCGCGAAAGCGUGGGUAGCAAACAGGAUUAGAUACCCUGGUAGUCCACGCUGUAAACGAUGAUUACUAGGUGUUGGGGGUCGAACCUCAGCGCCCAAGCAAACGCGAUAAGUAAUCCGCCUGGGGAGUACGUACGCAAGUAUGAAACUCAAAGGAAUUGACGGGGACCCGCACAAGCGGUGGAGCAUGUGGUUUAAUUCGACGCAACGCGAGGAACCUUACCAGCGUUUGACAUCUUAGGAAUGAGAUAGAGAUAUUUCC
rnacentral:rRNA from 1 species